AAAAUACACUAUCUAUUCUAGGCCUUAAAUGGCUUAAAUUAGUAAUCGUAAAUGGGGAUGAGCACAUAUCAGCUCAGCAAUUAUCGCUAGAAUAUCAUUGUAUCACACACAAGACACAUCAUUCCGUUCCUACUGCCACAUUCAUGAGCAAAAGAUGCACGGAACCUUUGUUCAUUCUUUGAACUGCCAUUCACGACGACACAUGGGACAAUGUGCUUGAGCAGAUUGAGAAUUCACCCACUUCAAAAUACAAUGAAGAUGAAA
rnacentral:misc_RNA from 1 species